CUAUUUACAGUUCUGUAGGAGGACAGCUAGAGAAGAUUUUCCAGAGGUGUUCAGCCCUGUCCUUCAGCAAGUGCCAUUUUUAGGAAGAAGAACAACCUGUUCCCAUUCUCAUGUCAAGCAGCACAACUGCAGAGUGAUUCCAUCACUUUCCUGAAAGGUUUCACUGCUGAACAAUGGUACCCAAAACAGAGACCGCUGAAAAACCAAGGCAAAUGAUCACACCAAGAAAUGCUGAACCCAGCCCCUACAGUGGAUCAAAUGUGAUUGAUAAGAAGAACUCAACACCAUUCUUUUUCCCUCCCAAUUGAUUCAGCAGAUCGGAAAAGAAAUGUUUUGGGGGCUGGAGGGAAGAAUUGCUUACAUGGAAAUUAGUGAGAAAGAAAAAAAAAUCACAAUACAUUUGCCCUCUAAAUAAACAAACCCAAGAUCAUUUUUA